UACGUAGGGUGCGAGCGUUAAUCGGAAUUACUGGGCGUAAAGCGUGCGCAGGCGGUUUUGUAAGACAGACGUGAAAUCCCCGGGCUUAACCUGGGAACUGCGUUUGUGACUGCAAGACUAGAGUACGGCAGAGGGGGGUAGAAUUCCACGUGUAGCAGUGUAAUGCGUAGAUAUGUGGAGGAAUACCGAUGGCGAAGGCAGCCCCCUGGGUCGAUACUGACGCUGAGACGCGAAAGCCAGGGGAGCGAACGGG
rnacentral:rRNA from 1 species